rnacentral:rRNA from 1 species
GCAAGCGUUGUCCGGAUUUAUUGGGUUUAAAGGGUGCGUAGGUGGCCCUGUAAGUCCGUGGUGAAAGCCUCUCGCUUAACGAGAGAACUGCCAUGGAUACUGCAGGGCUUGAGUCCAGACGAGGUUGGCGGAAUGGAUGGUGUAGCGGUGAAAUGCAUAGAUACCAUCCAGAACCCCGAUUGCGUAGGCAGCUGACUAGGCUGGUACUGACACUGAGGCACGAAAGCGUGGGGAGCGAACAGG